UUCAUUGAUGUUUAAGUGUGUGUUUGCAGAAUAUGUAAACAAGAAAUAAUAAUGAAUCUAAUUACGGCGACUCCAAUCCACGACAUGGUAAUUAAUCAUUAUUUUUUUCUUCUUUAAUAUUUCUUAUUUUUAUCAGGAAACAACCUCGCGCGUUAAAUGGGUUGAAAGAAAAAUCAGAUAACAAUCAAGAUCCGUGAACAAGGUCUGAUUUUUGUUAUUGUUUCAUAUAUGUAAACAAGAAAUGAUCAUGAAUCUAAUUAUGGCGACUCCAAUCUACCAUAAAUAAAAUUAACAAUGCAAAUCUACCAUAAGUACAGAGACCUUUUCUCAAGGCUUAAGUGAAACUUCGUUCUCCAGGGUCAAGCAGAUUGUUAUAUUUGUUGCAGAAAACUAAAGGUAUGUUGAUUGGGUUUGCUGGAAUCUCAAAAGCUCUAGAAAAGUUAAAGGGUUUGAUCGUUUGUGUUUGAAGAAGCUACGAAAGAAAACCAGCUUGGGUGUAUUUGAAUCAAAGAAAGAUUUUCAAAUACAAUUGAACUUAAGUCAUGUUCAAUCGUGACUUAUCUGGAAGAAGCAUAGUAUAAAAGAAAUAUUGGAGUUACUGGUUGAGAUGUAUAUUACAUAUCACUAUUUGGAGAAACUCAGUGGUGGUAGUCGUGGAGAUGUUGGAGUGGUGAUGUUGCUAAAGUUAGUAUCGGUGAAGGUUUUGAGCUGGUGGC